rnacentral:rRNA from 1 species
GUGAGGAAUAUUGGACAAUGGGCGCAAGCCUGAUCCAGCCAUGCCGCGUGCAGGAAGACGCAUCUAUGGUGUGUAAACUGCUUUUGUACGGGAAGAAACACUCCCUCGUGAGGGAGCUUGACGGUACCGUAAGAAUAAGGAUAGGCUAACUCCGUGCCAGCAGCCGCGGUAAUACGGAGGAUCCAAGCGUUAUCCGGAAUCAUUGGGUUUAAAGGGUCCGUAGGCGGUUUAAUAAGUCAGUGGUGAAAGCCCAUCGCUCAACGAUGGAACGGCCAUUGAUACUGUUAGACUUGAAUUACAAGGAAGUAACUAGAAUAUGUAGUGUAGCGGUGAAAUGCUUAGAUAUUACAUGGAAUACCAAUUGCGAAGGCAGGUUACUACUUGUGGAUUGACGCUGAUGGACGAAAGCGUGGGGAGCGAACAGGAUUAGAUACCCUGGUAGUCC